GGAUUUUUGAAGAGCAGAAGUGUGAUUUUCACGUUAAAUGGGGGAUUUUCCACAAGAAAAUGUGUGAAUUUGGGGAUAAUGGGGUAUUUUUGAAGAGAUAAUGCAUGAUUUUGGGGUAAAAUGGGGGAUUGUUGAAGAAACAGUGCAUGAUUUUGGGGUUAAGGGGUGUUUCUAGAAGAGAAAUUGCAUGAUUUUUGGGAUAAAUCAGGGAUUCUCGAAGAGAAAAUGCCUCAUUUUCGGGUUAAAUGGGGGACUUUGGAAGAGAAAUUGCAUUUUCUUCUGGUCAAAUGGGGGAUUUUCGAAGAGCAACUGCAUGAUUUUCGUUUACAUGUGAGACUUUUGUAGAGGAAAUGCGUGAUUUUUUGGAAACAUGGGGGACUCUUGUAGCAAAAAAGUUUGAUUUUGGGGUCAAACGGGGGAUUUUUGAAGAGCAGAAGUGUGAUUUUCACGUUAAAUGGGGGAUUUUCCACAAGAAAAUGUGUGAAUUUGGGGGAUAAUGUGGUAUUUUUGAAGAGAUAAUGCAUGAUUUUGGGGUAAAUGUGAGAUUUUCCAAGAGAAAAGGCAAGAUGUUCGGGUUGAAUGGGGGACUUUGCAAGAGAAGUUGUGUGAUUUUGGGGAUAAAAGGGGGAUUUUUGAAGAGAAAAUGUGUGAUUUUUGUUUAAAGGGGGUAUUUUUGAGGAGAUAAUGCAUGAUUUUGGGGUUAAGUGGGGGAUUGUUGAAGAGACAGUGCAUGAUUUUCGGGUUAAGGGGUGUUUCUAGAAGUGAAAACGCGUGAUUUUCGGGUUUAAAGAGCUACUUUUGAAGAGAAUGUGCGUGAUUUUCAGUUUAAAUCAGGGAUUCUCAAAGAGAAAAUGUGUGAUUUUUGUUUAAAGGGGGUAUUUUUGAAGGGAAAAUGUGUGAUUUUCAGUUAAAUUGUGGAAUCUCUAAGAGAAAAUGCCUGAUGUUUGCAUUAAAUGUGUGAUUUUCGUAGAGAUAAUGCGUGAUGUUCAGGUUACGUGGCAGAUUUUUGAAGAGAAAAUGCGUGAUUUUGGGGAUAAAUCAGGGAUUCUCGAAGAGAAAAUGCCUCAUUUUCGGGUUAAAUGGGGGACUUUGGAAGAGAAAUUGCAUUUUCUUCUGG
ensembl:lncRNA